rnacentral:rRNA from 1 species
CCUACGGGAGGCUGCAGUGGGGAAUAUUGCACAAUGGGCGAAACCCUGAUGCAGCAACGCCGCGUGGGUGAAGAAGCGUUUCGGCGCGUAAAGCUCUGUUAGCGGGGAAGAAGAAAGACGGUACCCGCCCAAGAAGCCCCUGCUCACUAAGUGCGAGCAGGCUCGGUAAUUCGUAGGGGCCGGGCGAUAUCCGGAAUUACUGGGUUUAAAGGGAGCGUAGGCGGCGAGGUAAGCCUGAGGUGGAAGCCCGCGGCCGAAACGCGGAACUGCGGUGGGAACUGGUUUGCUGGAGUAUGGGAGGGGUAAGCGGAAUUCGUGGUGUAGCGGUGAAAUGCGUAGAUAUCAGGAGGAACACCGAUGGCGAAGGCAGCUUACUGGGCCCUAACUGACGUUGAGGCUCGAAAGCGUGGGGAGCGAACAGGAUUAGAUACCCGGGUAGUC